rnacentral:rRNA from 1 species
UACGGGAGGCAGCAGUGAGGAAUCUUCCACAAUGGGGGCAACCCUGAUGGAGCAACGCCGCGUGCAGGAUGAAGGCCUUCGGGUUGUAAACUGCUUUUAUAAGUGAGGAAUAUGACGGUAACUUAUGAAUAAGGAUCGGCUAACUACGUGCCAGCAGCCGCGGUAAU